rnacentral:misc_RNA from 1 species
GGCUUUUCAUUGCCAUUGAAAACGAGGGGUUAGUAAGACUGUAACCUCCAUCAACAGCCAAAUUGAUCCCACUGAUAUACUUGGACUCGUCACUUGCAAGAUACAAGGCUGCCUGCGCAAUAUCAUCAGCUUCCAACACCACCCCUUUCAAGUUCGCUGCUGAUGAAACAAGUUCCUCAAUUUCCUUCUUCCCCAAAAUUCCAAAAGCACUUUUCACCAUCGGGGUUGCAACCCCAAAUGGUGAAAUACUAUUAACCCUAAUCCCAUACUGUCCUAACUCCACG